AAUCACUGGAUUGGAGCACAGUUAUGGGGCGAAUCUGAUUGGCUCCUGUCCACUGGCGGGACUCGGCCUCUCUGGCUUUUCGUCUGAGAUAAACACUACUUCACCUAAGAGACUUGAGUAUCCAGUUCUUCGUUGACAUUCAGCAUUCAGUGGUUUGUCUUCACCUUCUCAGGUUUCCUGUGUCCAGCAUCUUCAAGACAGACUAAGCUAACUUUUCAUAUUUUUUGCACAUUUAUAUCUAGGUUAGGAGUAGGUUAGGUUUAUAGUAGAGUAUUUAGUUUGUAUAGUUUAGCUUUUUAUACUGGUCUAGGGACAGUUAAGUUAGCAAAUUAAUUUAGUUCAGAUCCCUUACAGUUGCAUAUUAUUGUUACAAUUGUGUUACUUUGUGAGUUAUUGUUGUACAGGCUAUUGUAUAUUGCAGGACCAAGUGAGACGAGGAAGACCACUGCUUCCAAGAUGCCGAUCAGAAAGUGCGUUGGACAAGUCUCGACCUUGCAGAUCCUGCCCCACUUAGCCCAACCACUUCCGACCAUGGGGUACCUCAAAGACCUCGGUCAACCAGCCGGCUGUGGAUGAUGGAUAACGCACCCACAACUCCUUCUCCAGCCUACAAGGUUCUGAAAAUACAGACACCCCCACAGUCCAAGAACAGCUGGAUGACCUCUGGACCCGUUCACCAGUUGAAAAGAUAGGCUUUUUAAAAAAUUCUUCAAUUGUUAAUUCUGCACAAAGUGAUACACAAAACAUUGUAUGUAUUCCAUUUCAACAAACACAAACAUGAAAUGUAUAUUUAAAUACAUGACUUAAUGCAAGUCAAAAGUAAACAUUGCAUGCAAGAGACCAUCACCGGCGUCUCAGGGGAAAGCUAUCUGUAUACACAACUAUCAAUCUACUUGGUUGCUUCAAAAUUUUACGAUAGUUUUGCGAAUCCUGACUGAGAGUUGCCGGUUCGCAUGGUCUCGGAGGCAGUCGCCGGUUCGCAUAGUCUC